CUGAAGAUAUUUAUUUCACUCAGCACUAAUAGUCCACAAAUAGAAAUCUAACCUUUAAGAAGCAAAAUCUUUGAACUGUCAGACAUUAGUCUGUAAGGGACAGGAAACGUAUGAUAUGUAAUUGAAUCACCACCCUCUGUUUUCAAUCCUACGUUUCUCAUCCCAGAUAAAGGGCCUCUUCUCACACUCCCUUAUCCUUGCCUCAAGCCUCACCUCUGGGAUUCACUGCUGGGAGCAACGGAGUUCGUUUGGUUGCAGCAAUCUGGGAAGAAAAAUAAAAAGACAUAAGUGAGGUUGAAGGGCUGAGGUUUCAUGUUCAGGCUCUGAGUUGAGACUCGUAACUUUUUAACGCUUCCCGAGAGAGCUGCAUCCUGGUUCAAAGACUCGAUUUCGGAAGGGGAUUCUCCACCCCAGUACAAGGAGAGUCUGGAUUCCACCAGGCCGGGAGAAGACCUCUGCGCUUGACAAAUCCCUUCAAAUUAAUCCUCGACAUGAAAGGGCUUAUGGUCUACUCGUCUGAUCAUAUUUUUAGCAUUAUCUUUAGCACCUGCUUGGUCUCAGGUGUGCGGAGCGGCUUAGAAACCUGUAGAGACUUCUUGCAGAGGGUAGGGGUUGGACAGGGAGAGGGAGGAGUGAAUUUCAAUACAUGGAUUCAAGGACUCGCUGUGUGAUCCCGCUCUAGUGAACUCCCCUCCGUAAAAAUCUAAUGCUCAGGUCGAUGGUGAGGUCUUUGGGCAGCUAGGAUGAACUCUGACCCCCGUGAGGACUGGCCAGCCCACACUGCGAGGCUUGGGAAUGACAUCGGUUUGUGUCCAGGCUGAGAUGACAGUGCUGUGGUGAGUGUGCUCCUGGGGUGUAGGUGACUUCUGCUGAAGUGAAGGUGAAGUAACACAGCCUGUUACUUCAUAUUCCACACGGGGCUCCACUAUGACAUCACUGAGCAUGUGUAGCUGGGAGUAAUAGCACGUGACUGAUGGAAAAUUUCAACGGGAUCAGAAUUCUGGGACUCCAGUCCUUAAUCUGUCUGAGCCUCUGUUUCCAUGUCAAGAAACAGGAAGAAGAAAUAUGUCACCUAGACUAAGGGUCAGGGGACUGCCUGCUUGUAUCGAAUCACUUCUCAGACCCCCGUCACCUACCCACCCGCUCUUCUCGCUCCAGCUGACGUGCUUCGGUUGAGAGCUGUCUCAGAUCUUUUCUGCGACCAGAACGCCAUACAAGCAAACAAAGUGUUUCACAUAAUCUGUUGCAGAAGCUGAUUAUCCAAGUACAUAAACAGUCUAUUAUAAACUGGC